rnacentral:misc_RNA from 1 species
UCUCCGUUGGUGAACCAGCGGAGGGAUCAUUACCGAGUUAUUCCACUCCCAAACCCCUGUGAACUUAUACCUUUACUGUUGCUUCGGCGGGUUAACGCCCCGGAAGGCCCGCGAGGGCCGCCGGAACCAGGCGCCCGCCGGGGGACCCAAACUCUUGUAUCUUUUUUAUAGCAUGUCUGAGUGGAAUCAUAAACAAAUGAAUCAAAACUUUCAACAACGGAUCUCUUGGUUCUG